rnacentral:rRNA from 1 species
CGUAGGUGGCAAGCGUUGUCCGGAUUUAUUGGGUUUAAAGGGUGCGUAGGCGGUCAAAUAAGUCAGUUGUGAAAUACGGCAGCUCAACUGUCGAGGUGCAAUUGAUACUGUUUGACUUGAGUAUUGUUGAGGUAGGCGGAAUGGACGGUGUAGCGGUGAAAUGCUUAGAGAUCGUCCAGAACACCGAUAGCGAAGGCAGCUUACUAAAGAAUAACUGACGCUGAGGCACGAAAGUGUGGGGAUCAAACAGGAUUAGAUACCCUGGUAGUCCACACUGUAAACGAUGAUUACUCGAUGUGUGCGAUACACAGCACGCGUCUUAGCAAAAGCGAUAAGUAAUCCACCUGGGGAGUACGCCGGCAACGGUG